rnacentral:rRNA from 1 species
CCUACGGGAUGCUGCAGUGAGGAAUAUUGGUCAAUGGGCGCGAGCCUGAACCAGCCAAGUAGCGUGAAGGAUGACUGCCCUACGGGUUGUAAACUUCUUUUAUAAAGGAAUAAAGUGAGGCACGUGUGCCUUUUUGUAUGUACUUUAUGAAUAAGGAUCGGCUAACUCCGUGCCAGCAGCCGCGGUAAUAGGGAGGAUCCGAGCGUUAUCCGGAUUUAUUGGGGUUAAAGGGAGCGGAGGUGGGUUGUGAAGGCAGUUGUGGAAGUUUGCGGCUCAACCGUAAAAUUGCAAUUGAUACUGGCAGUCGUGAGUACAGUAGAGGUAGGCGGAAUUCGUGGGGUAGCGGUGAAAUGCUUAGAUAUCACGGAGAACUCCGAUUGCGAAGGCAGCUUAC